AGCCCAUGUCCCCCGCACUGAGGAUCAAUACACUGGGACGCAGGGACGUCACACUCGGUGCCUUUCCAGCCACUGUAGCACUGACAGCGCCCCCUGGUGUACUGGCCGUUACCGCUGCACAACACUGGACAGGCGGCUGAAGAAAGACACCAGGUACUUCUGUGAGCACAGCGAGAGGGCCAAUCUCCUUCAAAGUCACCAGCCAGGAAACAUGCUGAGGAAGCAUCUUGAUUUCCGACCAUUUGAUCUGCAGGAGGAACUUUUCUCCAACACCCAUCGCUCGCUGGGAAGAUGGAUAUCGACUGCAGCAAAUAACUUGAGAGGUGGAUGUGGGGCCAGAGAGACUAUCAAAUGUGAAGGAGACCAAAAGAGAGACGGAAAACUGUAUGGACAAUGUAUUAAUAGAUACUUUGUUAAGAAAUCAUUUGAGUGUGUGUGAUUUUUAAAGGCUACUGUUGGAAAUGCUUGGCAUCAGUUGAGUCUGAAAGCACACAGGACUCGUCCUUGGUAGAUCGUAUGAACAGGUGCACCGGUGGCUUGGAUUUCAGUGAAAUAAUGCGGAUAGCAUUGAGUGAUAAUGUUUACCAGCACAUUCAGGUAACACCAUGCUGAGUGUCAGAAUCUUUUUUUGUUGCAGGUGCUGCUGAAACAAAUCAGUAGCAUCACCUGUAGAAAUGGUUUCUGACUGGUUCAUCAAUAAUUUUGACAAGUCUGACUUUUCACAGGGAGCACCUCCCGAUGUGAAAUCCUGUACGAUCUGAGCACACCUGUUCUUUUUUUCCUUCUUUCUUUUUUCUCUACCGAUUCCCACAUAUAAUAUUUCAACUUUUUCUGAAUAUUUGGCAGUGUUAGAAUCCUAGUAAGUCUCAGUUCAAAUAUAACAAUCAGAUAGGAUGGACAUAUUUUGAACACCCUACAACAGUCUUGUGUAUUCUCACGUUAAAUACAAACACAGUAUAGUCUUCCGUGGUCAUAUUUUCAGUUUUUAGACCAACAUAUUGGUGGCUUUUACUGAGGAGAGAAUCCAAAAGAAACAUGGUCUGUUAAGCUGGGCCCCAAAUUGCAAGGCUCAGCUGGGGACACGGUGCAUUAACCUAAAAUGAAACACCCUCUGCCUAGAAAAAAAAAAGAAAAAGGAAAAAAAACAUUGUGGGACAUAAGCUUAGAAAAAUGAUUAACUGCAUAAAAAAUAAAGCAGGUAAAAUAACUUUUAAUAUUUUUUUCAAAAGCCGUCUUUGCAAAAAAAAAAAAAUCUUACUCUAAGCAGGUAGAAGAUUGUUCGCUUCAUCAAACGAGACACUGAAUGGCAUGUGUGCACUAACAAAUAUAGUGUAGAUUGACAGUCCCUAUAAAACUACCAGUUACAAAUUUUUGGGUACACAAUCCAUCACAAUUUGUAAACCUUGUUUAUUUAUUUUGGAUUAUGGACCAACAGUGGCUGAUUAAAAAUGUUAGAAAUGGUUGAUUUGAAAAUAAAAAUGAUCAACAUAAUGAAACAUUAACACAAUAAUAGUGUCCAAUUAAUAACCGUGGAAUUCAAAGUCCUUCAGGGAUCCUGAAUAUAUGCAGCAUAUUCGAUUGCAUGUGGUUCACUCAGAACCACAAAUACAAACACUGUGAUGCAAGAAGACUCAUAAGUCUGCCAAAGCCAUUAAUCCUGUGAGGAUGAUUCAUUUCUCUUUCAAAUUUCAAGACAAUCCAUUCAGUAGUUUGGGGCAAAGUGGUGACCCUACAGAGUAACUGACAUGCCACAAAAAAAUCCCACUUACCGAAAAAACAACAAAUAAACAAAUCUUUAUACAAAUCUCUCCCUCUGAAAAAAAAAAAACAGUGUGACUCAGCUGGCUCCUAAUUGUAGAUGCAGAGUCUAUCUGCUCUGCAAUCCUGUGUCCAGAAUCACCAGCCAUCCACCAGAAAGGAAACUGUGUGUGGCGGUGUGCGCUUGUGUGUCCGAGGCACCACAGAAUCACAGAGAGCCCUUCCCUCUUUUCUGCUCUUAGCGCACUGGGGCCUGAAUCCCUACUUACCUCAUCAACAAAUUGCUUUGAGGUGAAUAGCCCUCAAUUUAUGAAUUUGCAUAAGUUAUUCCUGCAGCCUAGGUCCAUUCAAUUAAUAUUUAUGGAACCAUGAGAAAUUCUCUUCCUGAGAAAGAAGCUGGAAAAGCUAGCCUUUAAUCGCUGAUGUCAAAAUUUGGCCUGUGGAACAUCUACAUGGACGAUGAAUAAGAGGCUGAAUUUGUGAGUUGGCAACACGUUUGUUUGAGCUCUGAUAUACACAUCCAAUAGUCCCCUGGCUACUCUCAGAGCAAAUUCCCACACCUUGUUCACACGAUUCUUGUUAGUGUUGUUACCAGACAAACAGAGUGCCAAAUGAAAUAUGUUUCUGUUAUUUAUAGGUAAAUAAAUAAAACAGGCAAACUACUGUUUUACAGGAUUCACAAAGCAGUCAGAACAGGUGAAGCUUUUCUAUUGCCUAAUAUCCCCAAAAAUCUUUAGUGAGUUUACCUGAGAGAAAGAGAGCUUAUCUGGAGUCACAGAAUACCAGCAACAACUUCUAACUCAACAGCCUCAAAAUUGUUGAGUUACAGUUGUUUGAUGGUUGAA